GACGAACGCUGGCGGCGUGCCUAAUACAUGCAAGUAGAACGAGUUGCGAACGGGUGAGUAACGCGUAGGACCCUGCCUUAUAGUGGGGGAUAAAUAUGGGAAACGCUAGCUAAUACCGCAUACUGUGAGAUGGACCUGCGUUUUAUUAGCUGGUUGGUGGGGUAAAGGCCUACCAAGGCGACGAUCCGUAACUGGUCUGAGAGGGUGAGCAGCCACACUGGAACUGAGACACGGCCCAGACUCCUACGGGAGGCAGCAGUGGGGAAUAUUGGACAAUGGGCGAAAGCCUGAUCCAGCCAUGCCGCGUGUGUGAAGAAGGUCUUCGGAUUGUAAAGCUCUUUAAGUUGGGAGGCGUUACCAACAGAAUAAGCACCGGCUAACUACGUGCCAGCAGCCGCGGUAAUAC
rnacentral:rRNA from 1 species